GAAGAGGAACUCCUUUUCUAACUCCAGGGUCUGGUACCGGCUCAGCAGCCUCUUCACUGAUGGCAGCAAAUACAUGCGCUGGGAGGUCAGCCUAGGUAACCUCAACAGCCAACCACUGAAAAUCCACGGCUGGAAAUAACAGGGAAGCGUCCUUCCAAGGGAAUAAAGUAGACCAUUGCUUAAAGAGAGCUACUUUGGAAGAAAGAGGAAAAGUGAGACAGAAAUGGUGUUGGCGUGCCCCUCUCCCAGACUUUUUGCACCGUGAGUGACCACUCGCUGCAACAUUUCAGUUCGGACACUUCAUUUUACGACUGCACGAAGGAACUCAGCUCAUUAAAAAAUCACCUCAAAUCACCGGGAUUCGCCUUAAUUUUUCAAGGCGUGGGUAGGGGAGUGGGGGGGAGACACUUCGCAAAGGAAUAUUUUCCGUAGAGUCCCGAGCCGCCAAAAAUAUCCACCCCACGUCUGUAAAUGACAUAGUGUUAUACCAGUCCCCGUGUUUCCUUCAAAAGUCUACAGCCCUUUAAAUGUUUCCCUCAUGUUCCUCCACAAAAAGCAGCCUAAUUAUUUUCAGAAGAGACCUGGGGAACUCUGGCCGAUUUCAAGUGUGGAGGGAGAAAAUCCCACCUCAGCUGCGCUUGCAGAGGUGAUUUUAGGUGUUUUUCUUCUCAGCAAAGGUCACAUUCUCGAUUUUUUUGAGGCACGGGGUGGCUCAACCCUCUGGUGAGACAGAAACUGAAUUUUUUAGCAGCUCCUUUCCCAAGAAGAGGAAAAGGCACAGUAGCUGCUCAGUCCAUCUUUAUUAGAUUUUCAGAAAUAGGGGGUGUAUUUUUCCCUUCAGAAGGGCUACAUGUGUUGGGUUUUUCCUCCCCGUAUGCAGACAAUGAGCUGUGCAGAACAGUGAUUUUUCCAUCGCCUAUUGUGAAAAUACUUUUAAAAAACAAGCUGCGUUAGUUGUGAAGAAAUAGUCUCCAUACCCGAAUAAUCUCAAGGACGGCACAAUGACCAUAUUCAUUUUGCCAGCACGCACCCACCUUCGUCCUCCCUUCCCCAGGUUGCCCAUUCCCUAGAGAAACCCCCCAAAACAGAAGAAAAGGGCAGCUAGGGACAGAGGCUCCUUAAUUAACAGCUAAUAGUCGAGAUAACUAUUUUCCUCCUCUAAUCAAUAGCAUUUCUAUUUUUAAAAUCCCAGUGCCUGCCCAUGCAAUAAACGCUGCUGUGCAAAUAGAAGGAUGGGAAAGCACAAAAAAAAAGUUGUCAGAUAUGGGCAUUUCGGGCUGCUAUCGGGAAGAAAUGCUGCAUUUUUCAAACCUUUAUCCCCGGACGCAGUAAGCAAAGGUGCACCGAGUAUUUCAACAGCCGGAAUCAUACCUAGGCUGGGAAAUAAAUGUUUGCCUUCAGUGACUGUGAAAGAAAGGAUCCCCCCCACCUUUACAGAUUUCAUGAAAUAAGAUAUAUGCGAUUGCCUACUUCAUUUUAAAGGAAAUAUCUUGACAUUUAGUGUCUGGGGAAAGUGCUGCUCUUUGUCUCUACUGUUUUGGCUGUGUUUGGAGGUGUGGAUGGGUGUGGGGUAAUGUGCCUUGCGGGUGCAUGCGCUUCACUCUGGCGUUAGCGGUGCGGCUGUAUUGUACUUUUAGGUGCUUCAUUGUACACUCCCGGAGUUUAUUUUAUGCACACCCCCCCCCCCCCCGCCCUGACCUUCACUGGAAGAUGUCAUUCCCUCCUUCCCCACCCCAAAAAGGAAGAGGCUUUGGAGAGAUACGUGACGUGAGUCAA